rnacentral:rRNA from 1 species
AUUGAACGCUGGCGGAAUGCUUUACACAUGCAAGUCGAACGGCAGCACGGGGCAACCUGGUGGCGAGUGGCGAACGGGUGGGUAAUAUAUCGGAACGUGCCCAAUCGUGGGGGAUAACGUAGCGAAAGUUACGCUAAUACCGCAUACGAUCUACGGAUGAAAGCGGGGGAUCGCAAGACCUCGCGCGAAUGGAGCGGCCGAUAUCAGAUUAGGUAGUUGGUGGGGUAAAGGCUCACCAAGCCAACGAUCUGUAGCUGGUCUGAGAGGACGACCAGCCACACUGGAACUGAGACACGGUCCAGACUCCUACGGGAGGCAGCAGUGGGGAAUUUUGGACAAUGGGCGCAAGCCUGAUCCAGCCAUGCCGCGUGCGGGAAGAAGGCCUUCGGUUGUAACCGCUUUGUC